GCACUAGUGGUUUAGUGGUAGAAUAGUACCCUGUUGCGGUACAAACCCGGGUUCGAUUCCCGGCUGGUACA
rfam:Ipomoea nil DNA, scaffold: scaffold3226, cultivar: Tokyo-kokei standard.